UACGAAGGGGGCUAGCGUUGUUCGGAAUGACUGGGCGUAAAGCGCACGUAGGCGGAUUGGUCAGUUGGGGGUGAAAUCCCGGGGCUCAACCUCGGAACUGCCUCCAAUACUGCCAAUCUUGAGUUCGGGAGAGGUGAGUGGAAUUCCUAGUGUAGAGGUGAAAUUCGUAGAUAUUAGGAAGAACGCCAGCGGCGAAGGCGGCUCACUGGACCGAUACUGACGCUGAGGUGCGAAAGCGUGGGGAGCAAACAGG
rnacentral:rRNA from 1 species